AACGAACGCUGGCGGCAUGCCUAACACAUGCAAGUCGAACGAGACCUUCGGGUCUAGUGGCGCACGGGUGCGUAACGCGUGGGAACCUGCCCUUAGGUUCGGAAUAACUCCCCGAAAGGGGUGCUAAUACCGGAUAAUGUCUUCGGACCAAAGAUUUAUCGCCUUUGGAUGGGCCCGCGUUGGAUUAGCUAGUUGGUAGGGUAAAAGCCUACCAAGGAGACGAUCCAUAGCUGGUCUGAGAGGAUGAUCAGCCACACUGGGACUGAGACACGGCCCAGACUCCUACGGGAGGCAGCAGUGGGGAAUAUUGGACAAUGGGCGAAAGCAUGAUCCAGCAAUGCCGCGUGAGUGAUGAAGGCCUUAGGGUUGUAAAGCUCUUUUACCCGGGAUGAUAAUGACAGUACCGGGAGAAUAAGCUCCGGCUAACUCCGUG
rnacentral:rRNA from 1 species